rnacentral:rRNA from 1 species
UGGGAAUAUUGCACAAUGGGCGAAAGCCUGAUGCAGCAACGCCGCGUGCGGGAUGACGGCCUUCGGGUUGUAAACCGCUUUCAGCAGGGACGAAGGUUUUCUGACGGUACCUGCAGAAGAAGCACCGGCUAACUACGUGCCAGCAGCCGCGGUGAUACGUAGGGUGCGAGCGUUGUCCGGAAUUAUUGGGCGUAAAGAGCUUGUAGGCGGUCCGUUGCGUCGGAAGUGAAAACUCAGGGCUUAACCCCUGAGCCUGCUUUCGAUACGGGCGGACUUGAGGGAUGUAGGGGAGAACGGAAUUCCUGGUGGAGCGGUGGAAUGCGCAGAUAUCAGGAGGAACACCAGUGGCGAAGGCGGUUCUCUGGACAUUUCCUGACGCUGAGAAGCGAAAGCGUGGGGAGCAAACAGGCUUAGAUACCCUGGUAGUCCACGCCGUAAACGGUGGCACUAGGUGUGGGACCCAUUCCACGGGUUCCGUGCCGUAGCUAACGCAUUAAGUGCCCCGCCUGGGG